GGGGACAUCUGUUACUUGAGCCGUAGCAGGAGCUUCAUGAACUUGCUCAUUAGUGAUGACAUGCGGUCCACUCUGUUCCAUCAUAGGCUGCUCUGGUAAUUUAGCAUCCUGUCCCUGUAUUUCCUUUGCACUAUUUUUAUCUAUCUCCAAAUGCAAGUUGCUAGUUGCAUCCCUUUCUGAAAGGAUAUCAACAUUAUAUUGUGCAGGUGAGUGUUUCACCUGAUGCAUACCCAGGGCUGGAUUGCUGUUAUCAAAACAACCACUACGAGAAACAGCACUCACUGUUCCCUUCCUUCCGUCCUUGCUCUUGUGUAUACUGCUUUUCUCCAC
rnacentral:lncRNA from 1 species